rnacentral:tRNA from 1 species
GGGGCAGUAGCUGAUGAGGUCUUAGCACUGGCUUGAAAACCCAGAGAUGUCGGAUCGUUACCGACCUGCCCCA